AUCCAGCUGACGAAUCCCAGAUAGGACGAAACGCGCAUCACACUGGAU
rfam:Schistosoma rodhaini strain Burundi genome assembly, scaffold: SROB_scaffold0000421